GAUGAAGAACGUAGCGAAAUGCGAUACGUAAUGUGAAUUGCAGAAUUCAGUGAAUCAUCGAGUCUUUGAACGCACAUUGCGCCCCCUGGUAUUCCGGGGGGCAUGCCUGUCCGAGCGUCAUUGCUGCCCUCAAGCACGGCUUGUGUGUUGGGCCUCCGUCCUCCUCCCGGGGGACGGGCCCGAAAGGCAGCGGCGGCACCGCGUCCGGUCCUCGAGCGUGUGGGGCUUCGUCACCCGCUCUUGUAGGCCCGGUCGGCGCUUGCCGACACAUCAAUCUUUUUUCCAGGUUGACCUCGGAUCAGGUAGGGAUACCCGCUGAACUUAAGCAUAUCAAUAAGCGGAGGA
rnacentral:misc_RNA from 1 species